GAUGAACGCUAGCUACAGGCUUAACACAUGCAAGUCGAGCGAGCGGCGGACGGGUGAGUAAUGUCUGGGAGACUGCCUGAUGGAGGGGGAUAACUACUGGAAACGGUAGCGAAUACCGCAUACCAUAAGAUGUGACCAGAUGGGAUUAGCUGGUAGGUGGGGUAACGGCUCACCUAGGCGACGAUCCCUAGCUGGUCUGAGAGGAUGACCAGCCACACGGGACCUGAGACGCGGUCCAGACUCCUACGGGAGGCAGCAGUGGGGAAUAUUGCACAAUGGGCGCAAGCCUGAUGCAGCCAUGCCGCGUGUGUGAAGAAGGCCUUCGGGUUGUAAAGCACUUUCAGCGGGGAGGCGUUACCCGCAGAAGAAGCACCGGCUAACUCCGUGCCAGCAGCCGCGGUAAUUC
rnacentral:rRNA from 1 species